rnacentral:rRNA from 1 species
UACGGGGGGAGCAAGCGUUGGUUCGGAUUUACUGGGCGUAAAGGGCGCGUAGGCGGCCCAGCACAAGUCAGUUGUGAAAUCUCCGAGCUUAACUCGAAAGGUCACUGAUACUGUGCGGCUAGAGUGCGGAAGGGGCAACUGGAAUUCUUGGUGUAGCGGUGAAAUGCGUAGAUAUCAAGAGGAACACCUGCGGCGAAGGCGGGUGCUGGGCCGACACUGACGCUGAGGCGCGAAAGCCAGGGGAGGCGAACGGG